GAUGAACGCUGGCGGCGUGCCUAAUACAUGCAAGUCGAGCGAACGGACGAGAAGCUUGCUUCUCUGAUGUUAGCGGCGGACGGGUGAGUAACACGUGGAUAACCUACCUAUAAGACUGGGAUAACUUCGGGAAACCGGAGCUAAUACCGGAUAAUAUUUUGAACCGCAUGGUUCAAAAGUGAAAGACGGUCUUGCUGUCACUUAUAGAUGGAUCCGCGCUGCAUUAGCUAGUUGGUAAGGUAACGGCUUACCAAGGCAACGAUGCAUAGCCGACCUGAGAGGGUGAUCGGCCACACGGGAACUGAGACACGGUCCAGACUCCUACGGGAGGCAGCAGUAGGGAAUCUUGCGCAAUGGGCGAAAGCCUGACGGAGCAACGCCGCGUGAGUGAUGAAGGUCUUCGGAUCGUAAAACUCUUUUAUUAGGGAAGAACAUAUGUGUAAGUAACUGUGCACAUCUUGACGGUACCUAAUCAGAAAGCAACGGCUAACUACGUG
rnacentral:rRNA from 1 species